GUGUCAGCCGCCGCGGUAACACGGGGGGCGCAAGCGUUAUUCGGAAUUAUUGGGCGUAAAGGGCGCGCAGGCGGUCUUGUCAGUCAGGUGUGAAAGCCCGGGGCUCAACGCCGGACGUGCACUUGAAACAGCAAGACUUGAGUACGGGAGAGGAAAGCGGAAUUCCUGGUGUAGAGGUGAAAUUCGUAGAUAUCAGGAGGAACACCGAUGGCGAAGGCAGCUUUCUGGACCGAUACUGACGCUGAGGCGCGAAGGCGUGGGUAGCGAACGGGAUUAGAUACCCCCGUAGUCC
rnacentral:rRNA from 1 species